rnacentral:lncRNA from 1 species
GCUCCAUGCAACGCUGCUCAGCUUAGUUUUCAAGUUGAAAGUAAGUUUUCCUAAUCUUAAAACUCUGUAAUGGGAAACGUGAAAAACUAAACUUAGUUUAUUCACAACUUACUGUAGUGGGAUCUUUAACUGUCGGUAUAACCAUCACUGUGGGUAAUAUUGUGCCGAAUUCCCCUCGCGUCGGGUCAAUAAAUGAGAAUUACAUAACUACUUAUUAAACUAUGGCCAUUUAUUUGGUUGAUUGUAACCAUGUGAUCUUGUCUGAAUGAAAGUUUCCGAUUUACUGAGAGUGCAACGGAGUGCAUUCCGUUACACUCUCAGUCACUCAGUUUUGUUCCAUUGCACGGUUUGCAAUUAUCACUAACAAAAUUACAUCCGCCAAAAUCUUAAUCCGCCUUAAUCGCAGUUGAAUUAGCAAUAAUUUUCACAUAUUGAGUACCAUGGAAUUUACACGCGAAGGCGCUUAUACAAGAAUCGCGAAAACAAACCGUGAUUCUGUACGAACAAAACCGCGAGACCAUCUGUGUUUCCGAGAAUAUUAACAAAAUAAUUUACUUAUUUACCUGACGUGGCGCCUGGCUCAAGCCAUCUCCCAUAUUUGUACUUGUUUAUAACGCUUUGCACGUCAAUUUCUGUUGUCAUUAGAAAUGCCAAUUUUUGACUGAACAAGCAGUUUAAAUAUGUUUGAAGCGAAACCAGGAUUAUUCAUAAUAAGUUUUUAGACGUUCUCUGGUUUUUAAAUAUUUAUUAUUACGAGCUUUCGACUUGGCGUCUGCAGUCUUCAACGGGUGGAUUACAAUAAUCCACCCGUUGAAGACUGCAGACUGGCAGCACAGGGGGCAGAAAAGUACGAUUGUGUUUUAUAAAUACCUUGUCAUCAACCAAUAUCCCAUAUUUAUAUCACAACAAUCCGCAGACAUAGUCAUAAAAGGAUCAAAAUUAGCUGAUUUUUAUUUUUUCGAUAAUAUCAUGCCUUCUACUUCAAACAUAUUGCAUUGCAACGAUAAUUUCCGAACAUCUUACGAAAGGAUGCCGAGGGUGUAACCCGUACAUAAAUAAGAAAGGGAUGAAACGCCGAAAAUCUUUCGUUCAAUGUGCACCGCAACAACUGGUGACGGAAGUAAAUUUGACAUUGUAACCGGAAGUAGAACGGAAGUUGAAGGAAAAUUGACCUAUCAUCUUCCAUGACCUUUUAAUCGAAUUAUUUGAAUGACAAUAACAAAUUUUAAAAAAUAUUGCGAAAUUCAAACUCAAAUUAGUCAAAUAUUAAUAUGGAACGUUUUGUCAACUAAAAGAAAUGCGAAUCACCCGAUUCAAAAGCAACACACGCUCUUGUAUCUAGAUGGUAUAAAGCUUUUCAAUAAUUUUAAAACAAUUAUUCUUGAAUCGAUCAACCGUACGUGAAUAUAUCCACGACUUUGAACUUUGUUUAAUAUGACUGUAUAAAUCCAAACGGCAGUCUAGAAAACCGGCCACGAUUUAAACUCGUCUUCGCCGUGUGUGCAGACUUAAGAUAUAUCAAUAGACUAUUUAAAUUCAUAAAUAAACUACAUGCACUUAUGGGGCGAAAAAAAUGGCAGUAAAUUUAAAUAAACUCUGAAACGGUUUCGUUAAUUCGGUUAAUAUAGACCUUUUUGUAAUAUAAAUACCGGUGCAUUUUGGCUUGUAUUUUGUAGGCUUUGUAUGAAUUAUCAAAUAAGUGACAAUUCUUUCAAUAAGUGACAAUUCAGUUCAAGGAGAAUUCAGUGACAAUUCAAUGAGUGACAAUUUAUAUUAUAUGAGCAUAUUGUUAUUUAAUUUUGAAACUGUAUACUAAUCAUAAAAAUACUGUAUGAGCUUGUCAUAUAUUUAAUAUAUAUGAUUAACAAUAUGAUUAUAUGAAUCAGUUGGAAAAAUAGUUUUCGUCAUGCGCAAUAUAUUUUAAGUGCGUAACUACGUCACUUCCGUCACCACCUGUUGCGGUGCACGUUGAAACAAAAUAAGCCAAAAUUGUAGUCCCAAAAAUUUCGGUUUAAUAACCGUUUCUUAAAAUUUCCUUGUACAGGUAUGCUAAGUGUAUCAUAUCUAAACUUUAUCCAAAAAAUAAAAGGUUUUGGUUCAGAAACACGCCAGUUAUAUCCAUUCGAAAUAUUUCACGAUCGGGGGUUUCAUCCCUUUCUAUUAUUUGUACGUGUAAGCAAAGUCAAUCGUUCUAGUAUGAGCCCACGCUACUAUGGUCAGUCCUUGUAAUACAAUGUUUGAAUUACAUGAAGUAGUAGGCAUGAUAUUAUCGAAAAUCAACAUAAUUUUCAUCGUGAUGAAACCUGGAUGAAACUAUGCGAUAUAUUGGUUGAUGACAAGUAUUUUAAAUAAACACAAUCGUACUUUUCUGCCCCCUGUGCUGGCAGUCGAAAGCUCGUAAUAAUAAAUAUUUAAAAACCAGAGAACGUCUAAAAACUUAUGUUAUGAACAAGCAGUGUUCUUUUACUUGGUAUAUUACGUGUGAAGCGAAAUGGCGGGUGCAAAAGAUAUUAUUACCACUUCGUUUUGGGUGCCAAAUCAAUUGCGAGUCGAUACAGCAAUUCUACAUAUGAUACAAUGACACGAAUAUCACUAGACCAAAAGAUAGCUAUAGUAUUGCUCAGAAAUAACCUAACACUGCGUUCGCGUUCCGAACGCGUUCCAAACGCGUUCCGAACGCGGGCGGAAGGCGGUUGAAACGCGGUCGGAACGCGGUUGGAACGCGUUCCAGAGGAAACUUGGAAACGCGUUCCCCAAUUUGGCUAAAAACCGCGUUCUCGCAUCGGAAAAUCCCGACACCGAAUGAAACAUGAGCUACUGUAGGGUUUGACAGUUGACAACUCAGUAUGAGCAAUUCAUAUCUUGACAGUUGACAACUCAGUAUGAGCAACUCAGUAUGAGCAACUCAAAUCCCGGGCUGAAAUACCAGCCCGGUUUGAUCCAGACUGAAACUCGACACAGACCGGGCAGCAUGUAAUCACAAAUAAUUUUUAAAAAAUCGUCUUAAUGGCUUUGUUUAGCGUGUUUGUUUCAACUGUAUAUGUUACCAUAAACACACAAAUCAAAUGGCCGAAAAUGCUUCAAAUCGCGAUCGUGUCUUUCAACCCGAGCUAGAAAGUUGUGUGUUGUGCACGGGCUACAUUUCAGCGAUUUAACAACAUGGGAUGGAAAUAAUUCCGACUAAAACUCAACCGGCUCAAACUGCUCACGGGCAAUCAAAUAGAUCGCUAUCAAACGUGCUGAAGCAAGCGUAUCAUGUAGCAUACUUGCUACAGUUUAUUUCAAAUUGUCGCCGCUUGUGUAAUUUUUUUACGCAUAACUAAGUCAUAACACACAAUUAUAAAGUAUAAACAUUUACAAUUAGUCAAAAUACUAGUGACUGUGACAUUUUUGACUGCUCAACAUCUCGGGUCGAUUUAUAAUAAGUGCAUGCUUGCAAUAUACAUUUACUAGCAAUUGUACCAACUUAUGAUGAUGUUCCCUUACUGUGGCACGCGAAUACACGCAUAUCAGCAAUAAACAUCGCUUGCGUAAAAUGAAGAUCAUUAAUUUUAGCAUUCUGUGAUGGGGAUCGAGAUAUUAAUAUUCGUUAAUUCAAAAUAUCAAAUUCAAAUACAAGUUGUAAAAUCAACUUAUUGUUUAUACAUAUAAAAAGGGCGCAUCCUAUAUUAAAAGGGCAUAAUUUAGUAUGUGCAAUAAUCUUUCGUGCUAUUUAUCAGUACCGCGUCGCGUGUGACCUUUUAUAAAUAUAUUGUAGGCCGGCUAGUAUGGCAUAACAUACUAUGGGGGGAGAGCCGCCUACUAUGAAUCUCAGGGCAAGCGAAAACGCGGAUAGAGACUAGAGUCGUAGGAUAUUUACUUGUAAAUGUUCCCUAACGUAUUAAGUGAGUGUCAAUUCAAUUUACAGUCGAAUAAACAUACAGAAAUAGACAAAUAGACACACGUGCGUUGAAAUAUUUUUUUAGGAAUAUAGCUAUGACUUACAAGGCCCACAUUUGUUUGUAUUUUUGUCCGUUUUGAUUGACCGAAACGGUGAAAGGUUAUUAUCACGCUAAAAGUUUCCCUUCAAUCGCUGCUUAUGUGUUGUGUGAGAAAGAUCAAGUUGCUAUUACGUAUAUUAAAGAAUUGUAAGUGAUGCUAAAGUAAAGGCAAACUUUGAACGAGAGAUGAAAAUUAUCCUUUUCAACUUCAUAAGUAAAUUUGUAAAAACAAAGAAGCCAAUCAACUGUUGUUACAAUAUUGUCUGUUAAUAUUGACCGAAAGCCGGCCAAAGGCAAUGGUCAUGUUUUCAACAACAACUGAAAGAUAGCCAUUUAUUGUUAACAAAUAACAAUUCUAGGGUUAAUUUCUUCUUUUCUGGCAAAUAUUUAUUAAUUUGAGACUGAUUUCAGUUCGUAAUUUAUCGACAAGUCAGAAUAUUAUUAAAAAGCAUGUUUUACGCAAUAAUUUUCCCAGCAAUAAUUCCCCCCCCCCGGUAUUUUUUUUCGAAUUUUUAACAAAUUAAGAAUUUUUAGUGUUCUGGUGUUCCGUGUUCCGGAAUGAUGCUGCUCCGGUGUUCCGUGUUCUGGUGUUCCGUUGUUCCUGGUUUUACUAAUAGCCAUUGGAACGCGAAUGGAACGUAAAUGGAACGCAAAUGGAACGCAUUUAGGAACGCGUUCCGAACCGGAACGCGUUUUCUGUUAGGUCAUUUCUGAGCAGUACUGUACGAAACAUGCAAUGUUUUUUAAUUUUUUAAAAUAUACACUGUCAACUGUAAAACAUUUGCAAAAUUGUACAUAAAAGUUUAAUAAACGUUUAAAAAGUUGUUUACGUCUCAAGAAAACGAUCACGUUCUUAGUUUUUUUCACAUGGACACCUUGGCUGUCCAUGGCACUCAAAUAAAUCGAAAAGUUGACAAAAAUAAAAGCGACGCUUUUAUAUAAGGGUAAUUUCUCGAGUUACACAAGUUUUUUUUACAAUUUCAGUUGCAUUUUACUCACGAUUGUUAUCGGUUACCGAUCCUCAAAUUUUGACCACAAAUUAUAAAUUUAGUAAAUGUUAUAUAUUUCAAAUUUUAAAAAAUUCUUUACAGUAGAAAUUUUGUUAUAAAAUUUUCGCUUUUAAAAAUAUCGCGCUGUAAAGAAUUUUAUUACAUUAGUUCUCGACAGUUGCAGGGAUCGUACUCAUGAAUGUGAAUUAAAAAAGAUAGGUCACCAGAUUUAUUUUUCAGAUACAAGACAAUUUUGUGGCUAAAAUAAGCCGGCUUUAUAGCUUUGCCAGUUCGCCAUGUUGCCAUGGCAAGAGUGACAUUAUCAAAGCCGAGUUGUAAAUAAUCCACUUAUGUUAUACAUUGUCUCCAAGUAGAAACGAAUGUACGAUCUGCAUUAAUAGGCCUGUACUGCAGAGAUGUUGGGAAAUAGGGUCAACUGUAGGGAGCCUCCUUAAAUGAACACCAUUACUGCAUCACUCUAAAACAACUCUGGUUGAAAGUCGUAUUUGACCUAUUAAAUGAAUAUUCCUGGUUAAUUUUAACCUUUUGCCCAACUAAAUUGACCAGAAUUAACGUUCUGAGGCCGGCGUUUAACUUAAACGGUGUUUAGCCGCUAACCAGCGUAUAAAUUUCUUAUCCAGCGGAUAGUUAAACGGCCGAUAAAAUUGCGUUGUACGAAGCCCGUUUAGUACCGCGUUUAACUAUCCGUAGGAUAACUUUUAAUUUAACCGGAGAAAACCGGAUUUUCUUGAAAUUUCUUACCUCUACGUCAGCUGUUGCUAGGCCUUUGUAAACUUUUGAAGCUUUACCUAACUUGUGAAUUCCACUAAGCUUUUGUAAAGUUUGUUGUUGUUUAUAUUUGGAGUUUGCUCGUCCAUUCGUUGCAAUUCUAUAUCAAACUUUUCAUUUUCAUAUUGUGCUGAGUUUCUUUAAAGAUUUUUGGCUUCUUUAUGCGAAGAGUCGAAGGCAAUAGCAAAAACUGUGAGUUGUGUUUGGCUUUUGUCAGUUGAUUCAGUUUUACACUGUUUGAAAUUUGUUAUUUUGUUCCUCGAAUUUGUACUUUUGUCUAAAAAAAUUUUAGGAACGUUCUGUCCCAAGUUUUGAUUGGCUGAUCAAAGCGAUUAACGCAAGCGAACAAAAUUUUUCGACUUUCGGCGUCUUGUUGUCUAUUUUGUAUACUUGUUGACUUUCCAAAGGGCAAAGUCAGUAUACUUAACGUCUAAACAUUGACACUGGUGUGCGCAGAUAUAGCAAAGCCACGGAAUUUAAUACAAGUGAGCAAGUGACCUUGGUGUACCUCAAGACCAAGCCAGUUAAAAGUGAGUUUUUCAUGUUUAUUGGAUUUAAAAAGAUAACUUCUCUACAUAAUUGUGCAUUUCAAUAACUAUCCCAUGCUCUUUCAACCGAAAUAAUCAUUGUUUUAUCUUCAAACUCCAAGUUUAUCCGCCGUAUAGCGAUUUAAACGGUCUCAAGAGACCGUUUAAAUUUACACGUUGGAUAGGCGAAAUUUAACCGGUGGAUAGCGCUAAACGGGCUUCGUACAACGCGAUUUCUCGAGCGUUUAAAUUUUAUCCGGCGGAUUGCGAGUUAAACGGUGGAUAACGACUUAAACGCCUUUCGUACAACCGGCCCCAGGUUAAAUUAACUGCAUGCAGACUAUGGUGGAUAAAAGAUAAACGCCAUGCAUGCACAAGCCGAUGCGAAGGUUUUCGUCAACGAAUUGGCGAUCGGACCAAAACGUUUUCCAAAAAGGGUUGUCUGAGUAUCCUUUUUUUGUACGUUCGGCUGCUAAAUUUCUCUGGAGUCUCAGUCCGCGCCCGUUUUCCCGAACACUCAGUUCGCGCCCGAACACUGUUGACAAAAUGGUUGGAAAACUCUAAUUAUAGACGGAUAUAGAAUUGUUCAUCUAAUUUGGGUAUAACUAAACUUGUCCCUGACAUUUACGCUAAUACAAUAUUUCCAGGUCCUGUUGCUCCACAUGUUUCACGUUUGUUUCCUACACUUAAAUACGAUGACAGGAAACUGGAAAUGACCUGCACAGGCACGGGGAUUCCUGAGCCUAAAGUGGCGUGGUUGUUAAAUGGUUCCAUGAUCGAUUACACAAGUACUGAAAAGGCGGUAAAUGUUGUGGUUGAUACCAAGCUAGCAGACUUGCAAAACGGGACAAAUUCAUAUCGUGUCAAUUCAAAAAUCGUUAUUACUGGCAGGAAAUUUCCGUUACAUAUUCAGUGCGUUGUCAAGAAUGAGAUGGAUGAAGUGUAUUCGGAGAAUGUCUACGCAUUGUACGUAGCAA